rnacentral:rRNA from 1 species
GCCAUGCCGCGUGCAGGAUGACUGCCCUAUGGGUUGUAAACUGCUUUUGUCCAGGAAUAAACCUAAAUACGAGUAUUUAGCUGAAUGUACUGGAAGAAUAAGGAUCGGCUAACUCCGUGCCAGCAGCCGCGGUAAUCA